rnacentral:tRNA from 1 species
GCCCCCAUCGUCUAGAGGCCUAGGACACCGCCCUUUCACGGCGGUAACGGGGGUUCGAAUCCCCCUGGGGGUA